CGUAGGGGUGACCUGCGGAGGGAUCAUUACCGAGUUUACAACUCCCAAACCCCUGUGAACAUACCAAUUGUUGCCUCGGCGGAUCAGCCCGCUCCCGGUAAAACGGGACGGCCCGCCAGAGGACCCCUAAACUCUGUUUCUAUAUGUAACUUCUGAGUAAAACCAUAAAUAAAUCAAAACUUUCAACAACGGAUCUCUUGGUUCUGGCAUCGAUGAAGAACGCAGCAAAAUGCGAUAAGUAAUGUGAAUUGCAGAAUUCAGUGAAUCAUCGAAUCUUUGAACGCACAUUGCGCCCGCCAGUAUUCUGGCGGGCAUGCCUGUUCGAGCGUCAUUUCAACCCUCAAGCCCCCGGGUUUGGUGUUGGGGAUCGGCGAGCCCUUGCGGCAAGCCGGCCCCGAAAUCUAGUGGCGGUCUCGCUGCAGCUUCCAUUGCGUAGUAGUAAAACCCUCGCAACUGGUACGCGGCGCGGCCAAGCCGUUAAACCCCCAACUUCUGAAUGUUGACCUCGGAUCAGGUAGGAAUACCCGCUGAACUUAAGCAUAUCAAAA
rnacentral:rRNA from 1 species